rnacentral:rRNA from 1 species
GGUUCGAUUAUGGCUCAGAUUGAACGCUGGCGGGAUGCUUUACCUGCAUGCAAGUCGAACGGCGGCACGGACUUCGGUCUGGUGGCGAGUGGCGAACCGGGUGAGUAAUGUAUCGGAACGUGCCUAGUAGCGGGGGAUAACUGCACAGCGUAGCUAAUACCGCAUACACCCUUCGGGGGAAAGCAGAGGACCUUCGGGCCUCGCACUAUUGGAAACGGCCGAUAUCGGAUUGGCUAGUUGGUGGGGUAACGGCUCGCAGGGCGACGAUCCGUAGCUGGUUUGAGAGGACGACCAGCCACACUGGGACUGAGACACGACUGAACUCUGAGGCAGCAGUGGGGAAUUUUGGACAAUGGAGGAAACCCUGAUCCAGCCAUCCCGCGUGUGCGAUGAAGGCCUUCGGGUUGUAAAGCACUUUUGGCGGGAAAGAAACGGCGCAGGAUAAUACCCCGUGCAACUGACAGUACCACCAGAAUAAGCACCGGCCCCUAACUACGUGCCAGCAGCCAUGAUGACACGUAGGAUGCAGGCGUUAAUCAGAUUACUGGGCGUAAAGCGUGCCGGUGGUUCGAAGAAAGAUGUGAAAUCCCGAGCUUAACUUUGGAACUGCAUUUUUAACUACCGAGCUAGAGUGUGUCAGAGGGAGGUGGAAUUCCGCGUGUAGCAGUGAAAUGCGUAGAUAUGCGGAGGAGCACCGAUGGCGAAGGCAGCCUCCUGGGAUGCUUACUGACGCUCAUGCGAAAGUGUGAGGGCAAACAGGAUUAGAUACCCUGGUAGUCCACGCCUAAACGAUGUCAACUAGCUGUUGGGGCCUUCGGGCCUUGGUAGCGCAGCUAACAUGAGGUGAAGCCACCACCAAGGAGAUACGGUGCCGAAUUAAAAACUCAAAGGAAUUGACGGGGACCGCACAAGCGGUGGAUGAUGUGGAUUAAUUCGAUGCAACGCGAAAAACCUUACCUACCCUUGACAUGUCUGGAAUCCCGAAGAAGUUCCGGGAUGCUCGCAGAGAACCGGAACACAGGUGCUGCAUGGCUGUCGUCAGCUCGUGUGUUGAGAUGUUGGGUUAAGUCCCACAACGGAAGCGCAACCCUUGUCAUUAGUUGCUACGGACACUCAAUGAGACUGCCGGUGACAAACCGGAGGAAGGUGGGGAUGACGUCAAGUCCUCAUGGCCCUUAUGGGUAGGGCUUCACGCAUCAUACAAUGGGUCGGAAUGAAGGUGUAGCCCGCGAGAGACCAAUCCCAGAAACCCGAUCGUAGUCCGGAUCGCAGUCUGCAACUCGACUGCGUGAAGUCGAAUCGCUGUGUGUGGAUCAGCAUCGCGGUGUCCGUUCCCGGAGUCCCUUUACACACCGCCCGUCACACCAUGGGAGUGGGUUUUACCAGAAGUAGUUAGCCUAACCGUAAGGAGGGCGAUUACCACGGUAGGAUUCUUGACUGGGGUGAAGUCGUAUUUCAGUAG